AGGGCAGAAGAGUUUCGAGCAGACUGCUCCAGGAAUAGUUACUACUGUAAGCUCAUGUGUGUCAGUACAUAUUUUGUUUUGUUUUUAUCUUCUGUGGUUAGUUCAUCUGCAUACUUCUAUAUUGUCAGUUGAUUUCUCAAUUCCUAUUGGAUGUCCAGUGUGCAUUGAGCUGGAGUUCACCCCGCAUAAGGCUUCCACGCGGGCACUUUCCAGGACCCCCUCCCUCACUCCCAAUCUGGACCAGAACCAAAAGCCUUGAAUGGUCCUUCACAGAACUCCAGUGACCAUGGCCAAUGUCCAAUUUUGUUGACAAAAGAAGAAGGGGGAGGUGGGGGGUCGUUCUCAUUCUAAGCAGUUCCUCCUUUCCCAGAAUGAAUGUUGCCUUCAGGUACCGUUGGAUACUUGAUGACUUGUCACUUUUAUUUGCGUGUAGUGUUUUGUGUUUGAAGUCAUACUUUCAGAUGUUUCUUGACACCCCGGUCGGAGUUUACUGUUAAGGUAAAUACACAGAAAAAAGAAAUACACACAUUGUGCAUUUAAAUACUUUCUUUUUGAAAUAUUAGUAUUUGUUAUUUCCCAGUCAAUGGAAAACCCCAUUCACAGUCUUGCACCGAAUCACACGGCCCGAAGAGGCCGAAAUACAGGAAAAGAAGUUCUUUAGUUUUGUUUACUAUCAUAUUAAUAUAUUAUUUUACUUGUUACCAAUUUAUUUCCUGAUUGCUCUUUGGGUUUUUAUUUUAAAGCUGAGUUUUAGUAGUUCAAUCGUGUUGAUGAAAUGUGAUUUCAAUCUCAAUCCAAAAUAAUUGUGAUCAUUAUUUGUUCCGUCAUCACCCAGCCCUAAUUCAAGAAUUAAUAACAUCCUUGAGCGAUACCAACAACCCACGCGCACCCUCCCUUGCUACAGACAGCAGAAGGCGUGUUCACCGAGUUGACAACACACUCAGACGCACUUUACAAAAAAAAAAACACGACAGACACAUCCGCUCAGCGCAAGUUUUGAUGCAAACUUUCCACGCAUGGAGCUGCGCGAGACUGUCGACUAGAAGGUGUUUCGUCUCACGCGUGAGCUGAUGGCAAAGAGGACAAAUAUCGAAGGCGACGUUUCCUGGGAGUAAUGGACGAACACGUGCAGUUGAUGUUAGCUCAGUUCCUGUUGGACCAACCGAGGCGCCCUCACUGCGCACGCGCCAAUUACCGCCUCUGCCGCCUGGAGGCAACACACAUACUCUAUAUGUGUACAAACGUUUUUUGAGU